rnacentral:tRNA from 1 species
AAUUUAAGUAGUUUAUUAAAAUAAAGAGUUGUGGUUUCUUAGAUGAUUUUUAUCCUUAAAUUU